rnacentral:rRNA from 1 species
CGCGGUGAAUACGUUCCCGGGUCUUGUACACACCGCCCGUCACACCAUGGAAGCUGGGUGUACCUAAAGUCGGUAACCGUAAGGAGCCGCCUAGGGUAAAACUAGUGACUGGGGCU